UACGUAGGGAGCAAGCGUUGUUCGGAUUUACUGGGCGUAAAGGGCGCGUAGGCGGCAUAUUAAGUCAUCUGUGAAAUCUCCGAGCUUAACUCGGAACUGUCAGCUGAUACUGAUGUGCUAGAGUGCGGAAGGGGCAAUCGGAAUUCUUGGUGUAGCGGUGAAAUGCGUAGAUAUCAAGAGGAACACCUGAGGUGAAGACGGGUUGCUGGGAUGAUACUGACGCUGAGGCGCGAAAGCUAGGGGAGCAAACAGG
rnacentral:rRNA from 1 species